AUUGAACGCUGGCGGCAGGCUUAACACAUGCAAGUCGAGCGGAGAUGAGGUGCUUGCACCUUAUCUUAGCGGCGGACGGGUGAGUAAUGCUUAGGAAUCUGCCUAUUAGUGGGGGACAACAUUCCGAAAGGAAUGCUAAUACCGCAUACGUCCUACGGGAGAAAGCAGGGGAUCUUCGGACCUUGCGCUAAUAGAUGAGCCUAAGUCGGAUUAGCUAGUUGGUGGGGUCAAGGCCUACCAAGGCGACGAUCUGUAGCGGGUAUGAGAGGAUGAUCCGCCACACUGGGACUGAGACACGGCCCAGACUCCUACGGGAGGCAGCAGUGGGGAAUAUUGGACAAUGGGGGGAACCCUGAUCCAGCCAUGCCGCGUGUGUGAAGAAGGCCUUAUGGUUGUAAAGCACUUUAAGCGAGGAGGAGGCUACUGAGACUAAUACUCUUGGAUAGUGGACGUUACUCGCAGAAUAAGCACCGGCUAACUCUGUGCCAGCAGCCGCAGUAAAAC
rnacentral:rRNA from 1 species